CCGCCAGCCGCAGCCAGGGCGCCGGGAGAGGCCCGAUUGCUCGAUCGCAGGCGGUAGGGUGCCCCGCGGCGUUUGGGCAUAACCCCACGCAAGUCUUCGCGAAUCCCACCUCCCCGCCCACGCUGGACGCGCUGCUCACGCGAGCGCGGCAGGCUGUGACCGCACUGCCAGAGGAAAAGGAUAGUAGUCUACAAAACGGCAGUCAUCAACAAGCAUAAUAAUAAUGGUGUCUCUUCACUCUCAGAUUGAAAAGAUAAAGAUAUUAGCAUCUCUACCCUACGGGGCGCCUGGCUGGCUUAGUCGGUGGAGCAUGCAACUCUUGAUCCCCG